rnacentral:rRNA from 1 species
CAGCCGCCACGGGAAUACGAAGGGUGCAAGCGUUAAUCGGAACUACUGGGCGUAAAGCGUGCGUAGGCGGUUUGUUAAGUCUGUUGUGAAAUCCCCGGGCUCAACCUGGGAAUGGCAAUGGAUACUGGCAAGCUAGAGUGUGUCAGAGGAUGGUGGAAUUCCCGGUGUAGCGGUGAAAUGCGUAGAGAUCGGGAGGAACAUCAGUAGCGAAGGCGGCCAUCUGGGACAACACUGACGCUGAGGCACGAAAGCGUGGGGAGCAAACAGGAUUAGAUACCCGAGUAGUCCCUGUCUCUUAUAA